UCUAGAAGUGUAAGCCAGAUAAACCCUUUCCUCCUCAACUUGCUUUUUGGUCAUGGUGUUUAGUCACAGCAAUAGAAACCCUAACUAAGACAAACUGGUACCAGUAUAGUGGGAUAUUGCUAUGACAGACCUGGCCAUGUUUUGGGGAGGUCUGUGGAAGGAUUUUGGAACUUUGGGCUAGAAAAACCACUCAAUGUUAAGAGCUCAUUAGGAUAUUCUCUAGGAGCUUGGAAGAUAAUGUUGAGAGCAGUGCAGAAGAUGGAGGUCUGGCUCGUGAAGUUUCAGAUGGAAGAUUAAAGGUUCUAUCAUGGCCAUUUGUUAUUUUUGAAGAUCCUAUGGUUCUGGUUAGCUGGGGCUAAAGAAUCAGCUGUGAUUAACAAGACACCAGAACUACUAAAGUGAAACUUUGCUGGGAUACUUGAUGUUGGUCAGCAGGAGCUAAGAAAUUCGUGGUGAUUAAGAGACCAACAUCACUGAGGUGAAAUAUUUUCUGGGAAGUGUUUCCUGAAAGUCAGCACACAGAAGCUGUGUCCUGGAGGUGGGCAAAGUUGUACCUUGGGUUGGCAUCAGGACUUGGUAAUGUGUGAGAGUCACCCAGGCGGUACUGGUUUUGAAGGCAUGAAGGGGUCAUGGAGAACAGCUGAGGCUCAGGACUAUGAAAAUCUAGGAGAGGCCACUGGGGAAGGUACAGCCUCACUAACAAUUAAAGGCCCAGGACUGAAGGAGUCAUGCAGAGAACUUUGAGGCUUAGCACCCUGAAGAGCACCUAUGAGAGGCUAUUGGUGAGAGUGCAGCCCGGUUGCAGCAGAAGACUCCAGCAUUUUAGAGAUUCCAGCACUUCGGGAUGACCACCAAGAACAGCAACAGCAAUGGAAUGGAGCCAGAGUGGAGCCAGCCGGGGUCUAGACAAGCUGUGUGUGCUGCAAGGGGGCGGAGCUGGAGAAGUGACCCAAGCCCCUUGGAGGAGCCCAGAAGAUGAUCAAGAUGUAGAACUCUCAUCUCCUCCAGCACCAUGUCUGCCUGCAUACCGCCUACCGUGAUGAUAACGGGACUGAACUUCUGAAACUAGUGGUGGCUUCUGCUUUCCUGGUGGUUGAUGAGGACUUUUGCACUGACUCUAAUGGAAGACACUGGUCUCUGAUUUUCCUUUUCACAGGGUCUGUUUCUGUAUUCAGGUAGUCUUGAUCUGACAAGAUCACCGAGGAAGUAUUGAUUUCCACUCUAUUUGAUGGACAAUAGUGCAUACAAUUUUAUUAAUUCCUCUUUAAAUGUUUAUAGAAAUUGUCAGUGAAAUCAACUGGCCCUAGGGCUUUUGUUGUUGCUGAUCAAAAGGUUUUAAGUAUUUAUCUAAUCUAUUGCUUUUUAGAAGGGAUCAUUCAAAUUGCCAAAUAGAAUAAAUCUGUUCUUGGGUGAGUUUCGAUUGCUUUGUUCCAAAAAUGAAUCUAUUUUUGUCUAACUUGUUGAACUUCUGUACACAGAACAUACACAAUAUUUUAAUACUAUCUUAAUAUUUAGUAAUGUUUUAAUAGUGCUCUUUUGUAAUAAUAUUUUAAUAGUAUUCUAUCGCUAAUAAAUAUCUCCUUCAAUUCCUGGUA